AUGCGGGAGGAAAAGGAACCAACAGGGAUUGCCCAGUAACGCGAGUGAAGCGGCAACAGCUCAAAUUCGAAUCUGGCCCCUAGGGUCCGAGUUGUAAUUUGUAGAGGAUGCUUUUGGUGAGGUGCCGCCCGAGUUCCCUGGAACGGGACGCCGCAGAGGGUGAGAGCCCCGUCUGGCUGGCCACCGAGCCUCUGUAAAGCUCCUUCGACGAGUCGAGUACUUUGGGAAUGCUGCUCAAAAUGGGAGGUAUAUGUCUUCUAAAGCUAAAUAUUGGCCAGAGACCGAUAGCGCACAAGUAGAGUGAUCGAAAGAUGAAAAGCACCUUGAAAAGAGGGUUAAACAGUACGUGAAAUUGUUGAAAGGGAAGCGCUUGUGACCAGACUUGGGCGCGGCGGAUCAUCCGGGGUUCUCCCCGGUGCACUUCGCCGUGUUCAGGCCAGCAUCAGUUCGGCGCGGGGGAAAAAGGCUUCGGGAACGUGGCUCCUCCGGGAGUGUUAUAGCCCGUUGCAUAAUACCCUGCGCUGGACUGAGGACCGCGCAUCUGCAAGGAUGCUGGCGUAAUGGUCACCAGCGACCCGUCUUGAAACACGGACCAAGGAGUCGUCUUCGUAUGCGAGUGUUCGGGUGUCAAACCCCUACGCGUAAUGAAAGUGAACGCAGGUGAGAGCUUCGGCGCAUCAUCGACCGAUCCUGAUGUUCUCGGAUGGAUUUGAGUAAGAGCAUACGGGGCCGGACCCGAAAGAAGGUGAACUAUGCCUGUAUAGGGUGAAGCCAGAGGAAACUCA
rnacentral:rRNA from 1 species